ACAGUACUUCCUUGGUUCCAAAGUUCUUGUCUUAGAUUUGCCUAGAUAUGGAUGUAUCUAAUACUAAAACGUGACUUGAUACAUCCGUAUUUUGACAAAUCUAAGACAAGAAUUUUGAGAUGGAGGGAGUACAAU
rfam:Triticum aestivum genome assembly, contig: Triticum_aestivum_CS42_TGACv1_scaffold_222398_3B